rnacentral:rRNA from 1 species
CCUACGGGAGGCAGCAGUGAGGAAUAUUGGUCAAUGGACGAAAGUCUGAACCAGCCAAGCCGCGUGAAGGAUGACUGCCCUAUGGGUUGUAAACUGCUUUUAUAAGGGAAUAAACCGCGGUACGUGUGUCUUUUUGCAAGUACCUUACGAAUAAGGAUCGGCUAACUCCGUGCCAGCAGCCGCGGUAAUACGGAGGAUCCGAGCGUUAUCCGGAUUUAUUGGGUUUAAAGGGUGCGUAGAUGGUUUGUUAAGUUAGUUGUGAAAUGUUGCGGCUCAACCGUAAAAUUGCAAUUGAUACUGGUAGUCUAGAGUACAGUUGAGGUAGGCGGAAUGUGUGGUGUAGCGGUGAAAUGCUUAGAGAUCACAAAGAACCCCGAUUGCGAAGGCAGCUUACUAGACUAUGUCUGACGUUGAUGCACGAAAGUGUGGGUAUCAAACAGGAUUAGAUACCCUAGUAGUC